GCGCGGCAAAGGUAUAGUUUAGUGAAGGUCAAGUGAAAUACAGUAAAGCAAAGCCAGAACUGAGUUUCGCAUGCCAGAGUUAUAGUUUACUAAAGGUCAAGUGAAAUACAGUAAAACAAAGCCAGAACUGAUGUUCACAUGCCAAAGGUAUAGUUUACUGAAGGUCAAGUGAAAUAAAAUAAAGCAAAGCCAGAACUGAGGUUCGCAUGCCAAAGGUAUAGUUUAAUGAAGGUCAAGUGAAAUACAGUAAAGCAAAGCCAGAACUGAGCUUCAUUCACCAAAGGUUUAGUUUACUGAAGGUCAAGUGAAAUACAGUAAAGCAAAGCCAGAACAGAGGUUUGCCCUCCAAAGUUAUAGUUUACUGAAGGUUAAGUGAAAUACAGUAAAGCAAAGCCAGAACUGAGAUUUGCUCACCAAAGGUAUAGUCUAACCAUAAAGAAAAGCCAGAACUGAGGUUCGCACGCCAAAGGUAUAGUUUAACAGUAAACAAAAGCC